CUCGUGCUCGCUGCGGAGUAAUUCCCGGUUCCCGGUGGGGGAAGCACCCCCUUCCGAAGCCGAGGCUGUGCGCCCUAAAACAAGUAGCCCCAACGUGGGAGAAACAAAAGGGGCUCUUUAAGCAAAGAGCCAAACAGCAAGAAACACCUUCAAGAACUCCCUGGAACUGGGCAGAUUCCCUAGGCCCCUUCCUGCUAGAGACUGCAGAGCCCAGCUGUAAGGAAGACUCUGGGCCACCUGAGUUGCCUGGAAGAGGUUUAGACCAACCAAGGCACCUGGAAAGGACACUCUCCAACCUGCUGAGCUGCCUGCAGGCUUUGCAGUGUGCUUCAGGUUCCCAGCUUUGGAGCUGUCAGCCAUGCUGGGGUGGACCUUGGGGAUGCAGCUGUCUUUGAGUCAUUUCUGCUUCUAUAUAAUGGACAUUGUUUAUACUUUGACCAUCGGAUGUACCGUUUUGAGGGAACUACAACAGCAAUGCACAAGAACAACAGAGGAUCUUUCUCUAACAGUGGUGACAGUGACAGUAGCUCCAGGGCCAGUGCUUCCAGUGGCAGCGUCCAUUGCUGCCCUCCAAUGCUGUGAUGCUAGCUGGCUGUCCCUACUUGCUGAGAACAGUGUUGGUAUCCUCACCAGGCCAGUCCUACGAUGUGACUUUAGCUAUUGUUUCCAGAUGCUUUCCAUCCUUGUGUCCCACCUCUUCUUGCAUUUAUGUGAACUUCUAAUGUAAAAAUUCAUUUCUGCUUAAAUUAGAAGCUUAAUAAGUAAAUUGUUAGGUCGGGCAGUGGUGGCACAUGCCUUUACUCCCAGCACUGGGGAGGCAGAGGCAGGUGGAUCUCUGUGAGUUUGAGACCAGCCUAAUCUACAAGAGCUAGUUCCAGAACAGUCUCCAAAGUCA